rnacentral:rRNA from 1 species
AACGAACGUUGGCGGCAUGGAUUAGGCAUGCAAGUCGAGGGAAUCCCAGCAAUGGGGGAACCGGCGUAAGGGGCAGUAAGGCGUGGGUACCUACCCGGGGGUUCGGGAUAGCCACCAGAGAUGGUGGGUAAUACCGGAUGACCUCGUGAGAGCAAAGGUUCACCGCCCCCGGAGGGGCCCACGUGGUAUUAGCUAGUUGGUGGGGUGACGGCCCACCAAGGCGGAGAUGCCUAGCGGGUGUGAGAGCACGACCCGCGCCACUCGCACUGAGACACUGGCGAGACACCUACGGGUGGCUGCAGUCGAGGAUCUUCGUCAAUGGGCGAAAGCCUGAACGAGCGAUGCCGCGUGCGCGAUGAAGGCCUUCGGGUUGUAAAGCGCGAAGGUGGGGAGAAAAGCCCGCGAGGGUGUGAUCUAUCCACAGUAAGCUCGGGCUAAGUUCGUGCCAGCCGCCGCAGUAACAC